GAAAAGAGGAAGGGGAUGUAGUGGGUAGAAGUGUCAAAGAAUUUAACUGUCAAAGGCAAACUUGCAUCAAUAAUUCUGCAAAGUUGCCUUGCACGCCUGCAGCACGAAUCCACUGGGUGGGCUCUCCCAUUAAGUGCGUUUAGACGAAUCAAGAUCGUGCUGUUCCAGCGAAGCGUAGCAGUGUGCUCCACGGAUGAGACCUCGCUGAAGACGAAGCUUUCCUUUUACUCAAUCUUACUGUUAGUGUAUUGAAUUUUCUAACAGCCUGCCGAUUUCUGAACCCCAUUAACCCAAUGAUGGAGUUAUCCUUGAUGUCAGCGCAGCAUUUUCCGGCCGUGAGUGGGGCCUUCAUGGAUUCCCCGUACAAUGGCAACACGUCCCUCCAGACCUCCACCUCCAACCUCAACGCCAACUUCUCCCGGCCGACAGAGGCGGAAGAGGAGGGCAAGUACUCCAGCGACGCCAUCUGGCUUUGGGUGGCCGUCAUUGCAACCAUCGGCAACAUAGUAGUGGUAGCAGUGGUUUGCGCCUGUGCCUUCUAAGACUCGUUAGUUACAAGCACACAGCCGAACCUCCCUCUUGCCACUUUUUCCCCCUCCACUUUGACCUAUCCCCUGUAUUCGUUUUCAUCUGGUAUGUGUCCAUCCGUAAUAUUAAAGCCAAGGCCAAGUUCUGAGGGUCGCCGGAAUAUGAUCGUGAAAAUAUAGGGAUUGAUUUAACUGAUGUUCUGUAGGACUAUGAAUGCGUUUGUAAGUCUAGGAAUGAGAGCGAGAGAGACAAUCCUCUGGAGUUACCAUACCGUAUCUUACCUAAAGCCUAUGUCUCCCAACGUGUUUUUUUAUUUAUUUUAAUGAUAAAUGGGGAAGUGAGCUGAUGUGGGCUGUGCCUUUGUAUAAUGAACAUUUUGUAAAUGAGUUAUGGAAAUGGACAUUGUAUAAAGCAGCCUCCGUUCUGCUUUCCAAUCGGAGGGAUCAACAGAGGUCAGCCUAAAGGAAGGGAAGUGGAAGUUGUAGGGAAGUGGGAAGUGCACAGGGAACGUGUACAGCUGUGAGAUCCCCUCUGCCUAUGAACCUGAACAGAACACCACCCCAUAUAUCUUUGUCUGGUUGAUGUCAUGUGCCUGUUUGUCUGAAAUGAAUGUGUUGAUGCUGCUGCCUUGGUCCAGGUCUCUCUUGAAAAUUAAAAAUUUUUUGUAUCUCAAUGAGACCAACCUGGUUAAAUAAGGGUGAUAUAAAUAAACACGGAAUCAGCAGUUCCCGUUGUGGUUGGCCACUGUCUCGGAGACCAGUGGAGAGAUAUGUGACAGAUGGUGGCUGGUAGGAGCGCUGAGGGGACAGCGGAGGGGCCCAGGGCAGACUUGGCAGUACCCCUCAGUACUCUGUGUUCUUUCCUGUGACUGCUGCACCACUGCACUACCAUUCACCAUUACUGCUCUGUCCUGUCCUCAUCGGCCUCUGUGAUAGAAAUCUCCCUAAGCACUUUAUAAAAACCCAAUAAACUGGGGCGUUUUCUUCCGUUUUAACUGCAGUGUUCUGGGCUCACCUGUUGCAUCUCUGCAGUGGCUGUAGACCUGUGCCAGUUGAACUAUGCAGUGAUGGCAUCCCACUGGGCACACACUGGUUGAAUAUAGAACGUCAUUUCAAUGAAAUGUUCCCCGUUGGAUAGCUGUGGAUAAUGUUUAGAAGUGAGACCGAUGUAUACAAACACAGUAUCACCCACAAGCCAAAAUAAGGGAAUUAAGUUGUCAGCACACAUCUUAUGUUAUACCACCCCUGCUGACAUUAUCUGCAAUUACGGAGCCACCAAUUACAUCGCACUAAAUCAUGGAGCCGCCCACCAUAACCAGACUAUCCCAAAUGACCCGACCGCCGCUACGAAGGCCCCACGCUGUUGAGCUAGCAAUGAAAUGAUUUUGCUCCUGUCAUAAGAAACCCCAUUGCUGUUAACGUUAGUUUUUUGUUGUUGUUGUGCCAGGCAGGCAGAAUCUCACAUUCACCUCAGAUUGUCUCUCAGUAGACUAGUGUGUGUAGGUGGCAGCCUCCCCAGUAGUUCUGUGCUGUGCUGUCUCCCAUGCACCCAGUGGAGUGGGGCCACAGACUUGUCAAGCGGCAGGGCUGUAAUGAGACGUAAUGCCUCUCUCUCUCUCUCUAUAUCUCUUUCCUAAAGCGAACAGUGACCUCUCAGUUGCGCUGCGGUGAUCAGAGCAGAUCUGAUCCCUGCUGCACUCGGCUGCGCUGAACAAAGAUAGUGCUUCAAAGUGCAUUUUUAGACUGGGACUUCCUCAUUUAAUCAGCACUCGUUGUGAUUGAAAGGGAGAGGAGGAGGAGAGAGGAGUGACCGCAUGGGAUUGGAUUUGUAACAGCCAACUUCCAUGUCAUCGCUUUGAAUUACAGGACUUUUUUUGAAGUACAAUGGAAAAUAUAUAUUUUUUUAUUGAAACCAACGAAGUGGAAUAAAAGGUUUUAAGAUGGAGAGAUUUAGGAUCAAAAGUCAGGCUGAGACAUCACUCCACACAGCUAAUUGCCCUGAUCUCACUGUACAGUAGAGUUAAUGAAAACAAGAGACAGAUUCAUCAUGGCGUCUCUGAGCGGUCCUUUUCAGGUUCCUUAGAGAGCUUAGUCUGAAGAAACCUGAGGGAACAGUAAUGCAUUGUCUCUUAACAAUAAACAACAACAAACCAAAAAAACGCUAGUGUCUCUAUGGCACUGUAUGGGGCGUCAUAAGUAUCUGCUGGCAAUAACUCAAGAUGACGCUAACAAGUUAGUAUUAUACAUCCCCACUAUAUGUAGUUACUUUAAUACAGUAACUAUUCUGAAACAACAUGCAUAUGAACUAGGUGAAGAAUCCCAGUUAGCUAUAAUAUGAAUUUCUUCUACCCUUGUGUCGGCUGUGUGCUUUGACAUGGGACUGGUUAAGGCUCCGGUGCCCACUGUCUACGGCUCAAAUUAUGUGCCUGAGCUGACUAACACAACACCUACCCGUC
rnacentral:lncRNA from 1 species